UCCCUCUCUUUCUUUCUCUGUCUCCCAAGAGCACAUGUGCCCUAUAACAAAUUUUAAAAGAAGAAAAAAUAGCUGGUGUUCAACCCCCUUUUUUAUUUAGUGGGGUUACAGAAAUGUUAGUUGUUCUCCAGAAACCAUUCUUUCUCAAUUCAGAGCCUCUGGGAACACCUGGCCUCUCAGAAUAAGACAACCUUGUCUGAUCUCGGUUGCAACUAAGUGUAGUCAUGCAACUAAGUUCUAGUCAAUGAAAUAUCAGAAGCAUCAUAUGCAACUUCUGAAAAGUAGGUUAAAAAGAUGGAAUCACAUACCUUUACAUGUUUUCUCUGUAGUGUCACUUCUUCCUUUCUGGCUGGAAAGCAGAAAUGAUGUCUAGAGUAUGGAUUAUGAGGUUGCGUGCUAAAUAUGGUAACACCCCAAAUAGAUGGAACUUAAGUGUGUGACAGUGCUCUCACUCAGAACCUUGGAUGUGGAGUAAUCAAGGUCAGGAAGAAAGCAGUGAAGGGGUCAGCCCAGUACCUUGGUAGCUAAGGGAACCAGAUCCCAUGUGACUGACUGCAUAGUCCAACUCCUAGCCCUGGCAGCUUGAAAAACACUUCAGGUGCAUGUGCAUCCAUUCUCUAAAUCCCAACAGGAUGGCAAAAUGGAGAAGGGAUUGCAAUGUGGCUACACACCAUUGGGGGGGGCGCUUUUUCCCUCUUCCUCUCUGUGUCUCUCUGUCUCAUUUGGCAAGGUUAUGCACCCUCUAGCCACUUCUUCCUCCACAAAAGGAGCAGUCAGUAUUCCUAGACAGGAGCCACACAGCGCCCGGUCCUAGCAGUGGUGUCCUGUGAACUAAGUACUAAUUUCCUGGCUACUUUUUCUCUUCAAAAAUAGCUUUUGAGCUGCCAGCUUCUUUCAGUCAGCAACUGAAGUGGCCUGGGAAAGUAGUGUUGUUCAGUUAUUUUUAGGAUGGAAGACAGGCAUAUCCCUGGUCUAAAAGAAAGAAGAGUUCAAAGGAGGAGAGAUUGAAGAUGAAAAAGAAAUAAUGAGGGUACUUGAUGAAGCAAAGUUACACAGAAUGCUGGCAGUUAAAGGACUUUUUGUACAUGUGCACGUUUCUUGGGAUUCUUGCCACCACUUGCAAGAGAGACACUGUGAAAGACUGGGCUUCUGAAGGGAACACGGUUUCACUGCAAUGGAAACUUGGGCUUAAAUAUUAAUGGAACUCCAUCAGACUUGAAGACUCUUUAAAGCAAGUUCGUUUUGACCUCAAAUUAAACUUCUGACAGUCUCAUAGACUAUUCAGCAAA